CCGUUCCCUUCAGGACCACCAAUAAUCCCGCCACCCCCUCCCAUCUCUCCCGACUGUCUGGAUGACACUGAUGCCCUGGGCAGUAUGCUAAUCUCUUGGUACAUGAGUGGCUACCACACUGGCUACUAUAUGGUAAGGACUCCCUGGGAACUGCCAGACAUGCUCUUUGCAGUUGUACAACUUUUGGUGAUGAGUCUUGCACCUAGAGCCAGCUCCUACAUAACUAAAAUGUGGUUUGUUCUAUAGUGCUUAAAAACGUUAAGUCAGUUUUAAGACCACUUUAACAUUUAAAAAUGGACAAUACUUCUUUCAUCAUUCCUCCUGAGUGUGAUUGCAACUCAUUUCAAAUGUCUGCUUUUGUUAUCUUGUCUGGUCUACAGAGUUCCAGGAUAGCCAGAGCUAUACAGAGAAACCCUGUCUCAAAAAAAAACAAAAAAAAAAAAACAAACAAAAAAAGGUUACAUUGUAUUAGAGUUUCUUGAAUCUGGAGUGAUCAAAUUCUAUAAAAUAUAUCUUGUCUUUUUGGUAGUUUUUACAAUGUACUCUAGCAUAUAUAAGUAACAGAAUCUCUAAAACUUUUUCUUUCCUCAGUUUACACUUAUUUAUUUGGGGUGGGUACUGUAUACUUAAUGGAAGUAAAAGGACAACGUAUGGGAGUGGGUUCUCUUCCUUUGCGUGGGUCCUGGGAGUUGAACUCAGGCCGCCAGUCCUGCCCACAAGUACCUUUUAUCUGCUGAGCCGUCUUGUGGACCCAGUAACAGGAUAUCUACAAAAAUAUGUGAUAGUGGGGGAAGAAUGUAUUCCUGUGAUUAGACUAUCUUGGUAAAUACAUUGUCUCUGGUCGACUGAGUCAUUACAGAUCUUUACUGUGAUUUUACUUUCUAAAUGUUUAUAUAGAAAAGCAACGGAAAACAAUGUACGAUUUGCGUUAAGAUUUGCUUCAUUUGUAGUUACGUAUAUGUGUACAUGUCUGUGUGUGGGCUAGUACAUAUGAUGCAGAUGCCGUUAACUGCUGAGCCAUCUCUCCAGUUCUUACUUCUCUUACAUUGGUUUUGAAUACUCUUUCUUUCAGNGACGGAAGGGAUUUUUCCUUAAGAAACUAACUUGGAAAUAUUCCUUUAAAGCCCGGGUCUAAAAUUCAACGGCCC
rnacentral:sRNA from 1 species